rnacentral:rRNA from 1 species
GCUUUACUGUAGCCUGGAAUUGGGUUCGGGCUUCGCUUGCGCAGGAUAGGUGGGAGGCUUUGAAGCUGCCCUUGUGGGGGUAGUGGAGCCAAUGGUGAGAUACCACUCUGGCGAGGCUAGAAUUCUAACCUUAUACCGUAAUCCGGGUAAAGGAACAGUUUCAGGUGGGCAGUUUGACUGGGGCGGUCGCCUCCUAAAAGGUAACGGAGGCGCGCAAAGGUUCUCUCAGCUGGUUGGAAAUCAGCCUUAGAGUGUAAAGGCAAAAGGGAGCUUGACUGUGCAAGACUGACAACUCGAAGCAGGGACGAAAGUCGGUCUUAGUGAUCCGACGGCACUGAGCGUGGAAUGCGCCGUCGCUCAACGGAUAAAGGUUA